UUAAGGAGAUUUUCACGAAAGUUGUUUGCGCCAAGGAAGAUCUUCACAUAGAGUGGUGAUGCGCGAGAGAUACCAAUUGAUAAGGUAGCAAUAUCCUCUUCCAUGAAAGAGCCCACUAGAAAUUUCAACUCAAUUACGCUGCAGCUAGAAACAAUACACAGAAAGAAUCCAUAAGUCUUCAUCCGAACAAGACAAAUAUUUGAUGAGGAGGCAGGUCACUUGCUAUGCAUCUCGAACAAUCUAUUCUUAUUAGCCGAGAAUGUUGCUUUUACUUAUGAUCUCAAUCUAUGUUUUUGUUCUUACAUUUUUAAUGCUGAAGACAAACUUGAGUGUUAACAUAGCAUAUGAUUAGUACCUUGAUUCACUGAAUUUACAUGAGCACCACUGGAGAACAUUCCCCUCCAAAACUGAUUGACGGAGAAAAUUGCGAGACAGGCGAGAAAUUUCCCGGUCGAUUGGAUGCUCCUCGGUAACAGUUUGAAGUUUCGCUGUUCGCAUCUUGUUCAUAGAUGAAGCUGCGUUAUCAUCCGAUCCACAAAAUGUAAGUCUAGUCCAAACUGAACUUGUACGAAACAGCAUCUUUGAAGGGAUAGGAAUCUGAACCUUAGUCUCUGUGAUAAGAGACUUCUAAACUCGUCUUAAUGCUGUUUGAGAAUUGUUUUUCCUGUAUAAAAGAUAACACUUAUUGAGAGCUGUAGUAAAGUUUACUUGAGCAGUAAAGUUGUGCUCCAAUUUAGAAAAAUAUUUUACCUGAUGGGUUAAUCUCGUAAUCAGUCCAAUUUGACGAAUUUGAAGAUGAGAUGCUUGCUAAGCGCUCAAAGACAUGCUGUUCCAGUGGUAAAUGAAAGUUGUGUUACGAAGUGGAUUUGACCUUAAACUGCAACUUUAGUAAAUGCCUAUCAGGAAAAGAAAAUUAACCAAAAUGAAAAUCGAGGCGAAGACGCUCUAUGAUGUAUCGCACAGUAUAUUACCUGGUCUGAUGAGGAGGAAGAUUCUGGAGAGUUUACGUUCAAAUUCAGAAAAUCAUUGAUGAAUUCGUGUUUUCCAAAUGGAUCCAGAUUUUCCAGCUUUUUUCCCAAACACUCUGCGUCUGAAAUUUCAGCACCAAGAUCAUAGGCGUCAUCUUCCACAUUUGAUUCAUUCUUU
rnacentral:lncRNA from 1 species